GGCAGCAGUGGGGAAUAUUGGACAAUGGGGGCAACCCUGAUCCAGCCAUGCCGCGUGUGUGAAGAAGGCUUUCGGGUUGUAAAGCACUUUCAGUGAGGAGGAAAACUCUGCGACUAAUACUCGUAGGGCUUGACGUUACUCACAGAAGAAGCACCGGCUAACUCCGUGCCAGCAGCCGCGGUAAUACGGAGGGUGCAAGCGUUAAUC
rnacentral:rRNA from 1 species